ACCCGCUGAACUUAAGCAUAUCAGUAAGCGGAGGAAAAGAAACUAACUAGGAUUCCCCGAGUAGCGGCGAGCGAAAGGGGAGAAGCCCAGCGCCGAAGCCCGUCGUCCGCUAUGGUCGGCAGUGCAAUGUGGCGUUUCGGCGGCGACUCGCCGCGCUUCACCCUGGCACGAGUACCUCUGAAUGGGUCGUCACAGCGGGUGUCAGCCCCCUACUCGCCAGACGGGUGUGCGCGUCCUGUUGUCGUCGCGGAGUCGGGUUGCUUGAGAGUGCAGCCCAAAGUGGGUGGUAAGCUCCAUCUAAGGCUAAAUACCUAGUGCGAGACCGAUAGCAAACAAGUACCGUGAGGGAAAGUUGCAAAGAACUUUGAAAAGAGAGUUCAAGAGUACGUGAAACCGUUCAGAGGCAAACGGACGGAACUGGGCGAUUUCGUCGUCGUCAUUCAGCCGCCGGUCGUCGCGCGUCUUCGGGCGCGCGCGGCUGCGGUGCACUUGGCGGCGGCGGAGCGCGACGACCGCCUGUCGGGUCGUCAGAAGCCCGGCGGCAAGGUGGCGACGCGCUCGCGCGUCGUGUUACAGGCCGUCGAGGCGUUGGCAGACUUGGCGGGCGAGGAGCGCCUGCGGUGCACUCCCCACACGCGGGAGUGGCUCGACGCGGUGGGCUUGCGGACGCCGGCGACGAACUGCUCGCAGUUUGAUGUCGCGCGCGCCGUCUGUCGCGCCGCGCGGUGCCACGAGGCACCCAGGGUCCGGGUCGUGUGGUUCCUGGCACUCCGUCCGACCCGUCUUGAAACACGGACCAAGGAGUUGAGCACGCGCGCGAGUCGAUGGGCUCGCAGAACCCCAGUGGCGCAGCUAAGGCAAAACGGGCGUGAUCCGGCACUCGCGUGUCGGCGCAACGCCGGCCCGCAGGCGACUCGUUGCAAGUGCCUGCGGUGCAAGAGCGCGUGUGCUCAGACCCGAAAGGUGGUGAACUAUGCUUGAGCAGGGCGAAGCCAGAGGAAACUCUGGUGGAGGCUCGCAGCGAUCCUGACGUGCAAAUCGGUCGUCAAACUUGAGCAUAGGGGCGAAAGACUAAUCGAACCGCCUAGUAGCUGGUUCCCUCCGAAGUUUCCCUCAGGAUAGCUGGCACUCGGGAUAAAUGGUUUUAUCCGGUAAAGCGAAUGAUUAGAGGCAUUGGGGACGAAACGUCCUCAACCUAUUCUCAAACUUUAAAUGGGUAAGAGGCGCGACCCUUCCUGAUCGGGGUCGCGUGCUUGAACAGAGAGUGCCCAGUGGGCCGUUUUUGGUAAGCAGAACUGGCGCUGUGGGAUGAACCAAACGCGCGGUUAGGGUGCCUAACGCACGCUCAUGAGAUACCACAAAAGGUGUUGGUUGAUAUAGACAGCAGGACGGUGGCCAUGGAAGUCGGAAUCCGCUAAGGAGUGUGUAACAACUCACCUGCCGAAUCAACUAGCCCUGAAAAUGGAUGGCGCUGGAGCGUGCGACCCAUACCGCGCCGUCGGGGCAACGCGUGCGAAAUGCCAGGCCCCGACGAGUAGGAGGGCGUGUCGGUGGCGUUGAAGCGUAGUGCGCGAGCACGCGUGGAGCCGCCUUCAGUGCAGAUCUUGGUGGUAGUAGCAAGUAUACAAAUGAGAACUUUGUAGACCGAAGUGGAGAAGGGUUCCAUGUGAACAGCAGUUGGACAUGGGUCAGUCGGCCCUAAGAGAUCGGAGAAUUCCGUUCUGAACGGGGGAGACGCGUCGCGUGGCGGCCGCCGUCUGAAGUGUUGCAUAACAGUUGCGGUGCGGUGCGCGCGCACACGCGCUCGCGCAUGUCGACCCCGAUGCGAUCGAAAGGGAAUCGGGUUAAUAUUCCCGAACCUGGCAGUGGAGAUUGGGCCCUCGGGCCCCAGUGCGGUAACGCAACCGAACUCGGAGACGCCAGCGUCGAUCCCGGGAAGAGUUCUCUUUUCUUUGUUAGGAGCGGACUCCCUGGAAUUGGCUUGUCCAGAGAUAGGGACGUUGCAUCCGUAAAGCGUCGCGCCUCACGCGGCGUCCGGUGCAUCGGCGUUGGCCCUUGAAAAUCCGAGGGAGGCAGUGUAAUUUUCACUCCAGGCCGUACCCGAAUCCGCAGCAGGUCUCCAAGGUGAACAGCCUCUGGUCGAUAGAACAAUGUAGGUAAGGGAAGUCGGCAAAUCCGAUCCGUAACUUCGGGAUAAGGAUUGGCUCUGAGGUGCGGGCUGCUUCGGGUCGCGGCAAGAAGCGGAUCGUGCGUUGGUUGGACUGGGCGCGUCUCGGCGCGUUCGGACCGCCGCCAGCGCGCGUCCGUGGGAGGCCGUGGCUUUCGCCGGCGCGGGCUCGCGCUCGUGUCGGCUUCGUUCGGCCUAAACGCACAGCACAGAACUGGCACGGACUCUGGGAACACGACUGUCUAAUUAAAACAAAGCAUCGCGAUGGCCGCUGGUCGGUGUUGACGCGAUGUGAUUUCUGCCCAGUGCUUUGAAUGUCAAAGUGAAGAAAUUCAACCAAGCGCAGGUAAACGGCGGGAGUAACUAUGACUCUCUUAA
rnacentral:rRNA from 1 species